rnacentral:rRNA from 1 species
AUUGAACGCUAGCGGGAUGCUUUACACAUGCAAGUCGAACGAGUGGCGGACGGGUGAGUAAUAUAUCGGAAGUGCCCAGUAGAGGGGGAUAACUACUCGAAACGGUGGCUAAUACCGCAUACUAUUGGAGGGCCGCUAUGGGAUUAGCUAGUUGGGGGGGUAAAGGCUCACCAAGGCAACGAUCCGUAGCUGGUUUGAGAGGACGAUCAGCAAAGCUGUGACUGAGAACCGUCCCAGACUCCGACGGAGGCAGCAGUGGGGAAUAUUGCACAAUGGGGGCAAGCCUGAUGCAGACAUGCCGCGUGUAUGAAGAAGGCCCUAGGGUUGUAAGGUACUUUCAGUCGGGAGGCGUUACCGACAGAAGAAGCACCGGCUAACUCCGUGCCAGCAGCCGCGGUAAUUC